GCAUGAGGGUUAGGUUGUAGGUCUUCCAGUUCCUGUUGACCUAGCCAGGCCUGCUGUGGUUUCAGCCUGAGCUACCUCUCUGUUUCAUACUCUUAUCUUGCAACAUUUCAACAGAAUAACAUCAGCUGGGUAAAAAUCAUAUUACCGUUGCUAAGGCUGUAAUCAUAAAUGUUGAAUUAAUCUGUCCCAAGCAUAUUGACUGAAACAUUUGGUUUUCUCAUACAAUAGACAAUCAAUGCAUACAAUGCACUGAUUGCACUCUUGAACAGGUCAAUAAUGCAGUUGUAUAGAGCAUGUCAUAUUUAUUCAUGAUAGAUUUAAGAUGAGAUGCUACCAAUGCUAACCCACAGUAUGCAUGUGUUCUUUCAAAUCUGACUGACAGAACAGCGUAGUCAGGGAGGUCUGAGAAAAGAUGCCAGUCCCGCCUCCACCUCCUCCUCCUCCUCCCCCCACACUUGCUGUGGCCAACACAGAGAAACCCUCACUGAACAAGUCUGAGCAGCGAGGGAGAAAUGCUCUGCUAUCAGACAUAUCCAAGGGAAAACGCCUCAAGAAAGCUAUCACUAAUGACAGAAGUGCUCCAGUUUUUGAGAAGGCCACAGGAGGGGGAGUCACAAGACAGGAUCAAGUUGGCACCUUCAGCCCUGGAACUCAGUCUGACCAGCAGAGACUACAGCACAGAUAUGUGCCCAAACAGUCUGUGAACAACAAAGGCAACGGAAGGGACAUCCUCUCUGUGUGUAAAAUCUCCAGACCAGCUCUUGGUGGCCUUCAGACCAAACUACCUCUGCCACUACCUCAAGGAGUCUGCCCAGCACCUUUACUAUCCACCCCCCAAUCUCCCUCCCUGCCUGCCAGACACCCAGGCCUUCCACUUCCCAGAGCCCAGAACUCUCUCCAUCCUCCUCCGCUUCCCAACACUAGUCGUCCUCCACUACCCAGAUUCCUCAGUGUUCCUGCUGAGUGCUGCCCUCUGCUGGCAGCCAGGGAGAAAAAGCCCUCUCGCCUUCCACAAUGGCCGCCACAGCCACCCGCUCUGCCCUGUAAGCCUGCUAACUUCACUGGGUGCCGAGCCAUCACUCACAGUGCCAAGCUGUCUCCUCUUCCCUGCCUGGCCCGGGAGCAAAACAACUCCCCAAGACCCCCCAAGAAGAGCCAGUCCUUUGCUGGAUAUGACCGCCCUCCUCCUGUGCGGUCUCGGCCUCUGCCACCUCUACCUAAUGAGCAAACUCUACCCGGUGUCAGCUUAGAAGCCACCUCAGGACCACCUCUCCCUCCUAACAAGCCAACCCUUAGAAGUCUGCAUCCAUUACCUGCCAUUGAGAAUAGUACUAUCAACCUCAAUGACCACACCACAGGUACAAUACUGUACUGCUCAUAUCUGACAAAUGUGGUGCCAACAUGGAUGACACUUAAUGUAACCAAAUAUUGCAUAAUAUAUUUACCGAUACAUUUGAAUCAUAUUCAUUCAAACUGCCUGAAAAAAGAUGAAAAGGCAUGCUACGUAAAAUACAAUGCUCUCACAAUAAUGUUUCAUGCCCUCUGUAUAGCCUGUAAAGGUUUUCUUUCACAGGCAUCCUCGCUGCAUAACAGCAAAAAGGUUCUUUGGUGUGCUGCCAUCACUGAAAUUAUAUUAGACAAAACAUUUUGCUUACCCCAAUAGUUUCAUGCACUCUUAAAACAAAUGUGUUGAAAAUAACACAGUUUGUGUUGUUUCUAACACAUUAGUUUUAAGGGUGUGUUUAUGUCUACAGUUCAGUAAUAUACUUGUAUCACAGAUGUGUGGGAGAACAGGUUCACCUUCCACCCAGUGAUGGAUCUCCCUCUCCCUGAGGUAUAUGUUCCUGGACGCAAGACCUACCCCAGCAGUCUCUUCAAAAGAUAUGCAAAAGGGAAAAGGGAGAGAGGGUCUCCUCCUCUAGCUCCAGUUAUAAGAUGAAAUGAUGUCCUUUUUCAAAUGUGCAUUAUUUUGGGUUUUAUUCAUUCUUUACUACAUCUCAACUGUCUUUUCCAUGUUGAGAAACAAAACAUUGUAGUGCUUUUCCAAAUGAUUUAUUAAAAUUAAUCUAAUUUGUAUAUUUCCAUUCAGUCAAUCCAAGUAGAUCUAAAUGACACAUGCAUAGCAUAUAUUUGCAUUAAAGGUGUAUACAAGUGAAUGCAAUUUGAGUUUCUUGGAAGUAUCCUAAGUUGUGCAAGUACAAAAAAGUGUUUAUUUCUUUCUUUUUUACGCAAAAUUGAGUGACGCUUCUCUAGGUAUAUAAAGAUGAUGGAGUGGCUUGACAGAAUAGUUAAUUUGAUAUGAAAUGACGUCUGCAGC